ACUCAACCCAGCUCUGCUGACUCCCUGUCCAGUGCUCCUUCUAUUUCUGCACUCUGCACUGGAGGGUCUCGGAGACCUG
rnacentral:pre_miRNA from 1 species